rnacentral:lncRNA from 1 species
UCCAGCUACAAUAGUAAUUUAAUUUAACAUUAACAAUGUCAACAAUGUAUCUCUGAUCAAUUUUAUGUUAUUUUAAUGGACAGAAAAUUUGCUUUUCUUUCAAAAACAAGGACAUUUCUAAGUGGCCCCAAACCUUUGAACGGUAGUGCACAUUUGGCUGGAGGUUAGGAAGUGCAGCUCAGGUUCCACCUCAUUUUGUGGGCAGUGUGGACAUAGCCUGUCUUCUCUUGAGCUCCAGGCCUGUCUACUGUGGCCUCUCUCAAUAGCAAGGCUAUGCUCACUGAGUCUGUACAUAGUCAAAGCUUUCAUUAAUUUUGGGUCACCAACAGUGGUCAGGUAUUCUGCCACUGUGUACUCUCUGUUUAGGGCCAAAAUGCAUUCUAGUUUGCUCCGUUUUUUGUUAAUUCUUUCCAACGUGUCAGUAAUGAUCUUUUUGUUUUCUCAUGAUUUGGUUGGGUUUAGUUGGUUGGGUUUGGUUGGGUUUAGUCAAGUAUUUUUAGCCUGGUCCUAAUUGGUAUAUCAAGUUUUAUGUUCCUUUUGAUGGCAUAGAAGGCCCUUCUUGCCUUGUCUCUCAGAUCGUUCACAGCUUUGUGGAAGUUACCUGUGGCGCUGAUGUUUAGGCCAGGGUAUAUAUCGUUUUUGUGUGCUCAGGUCAACAGUGUCUGGAUGCAAUUUAUAUUUGUGUUCACUCACUCACUCACUCACUCACUCACUCACUCACUCACUCACUCACUCACUCACUCACUCACUCACUCACUCACUCACAAACGAACACAUACACUCACACUGCUCCUUCACACACUGCUGACAAGUCACAAGACAAAUUCCCCUUCUCACCAUGUAAGGGUCUUGCCACUGAUUGCAACAGAUAAUGGAACCACACCCAGUGAAUUUCAGAAUGUCAAGACAGUGACCUCAAUGCCACCAGGUGAUAAUGAGUAAUGUUUUUUAAAGGCUGGUCAUGACGUUAGAUUAGUGUAAUACUGUGAAUAUCAGCAUUUCAGGAAGUCAUUCACAUGUUUUUAGUCAGCAAAGAAGAGGCCUUACUUUACCUCAGCUCUUAAUACAAAGGCCUAUGCCAGAUGGCAUGAAUACUAAUCAUGACAACUAACAAUGCCAACAAUGUUAAAAAUGUAUCAAUUCUGCGGUUACAAACUGACUUUAACUAUCUCGUCAGGACUUACCAAACAUAAAUACAGAUAGAGACUAAGUGGCCAGUGUGAGAGAUUACAUUAAAAAUAUAUAUUCAGUGUUGUUGGCUGUACUUUUCAUGAACCCUUCAAAGUAUACAAAAAUGACUUAAGGCAUUGACUAAAUCUGAACCCCUUCUAUGUGCAUUAAACGAUCAAAUGUUAUUUGAGUCAUAAUGCAAAGGCCUUUGUCAUCUCAAUGCUUGGGGAUAUACCCUCUGUGAGGCCAGCCCAUCACACUAUUCAUAGAAUGUAGCCUAAUGUUUGAUCCAAAGUCAAGGCUACAACUGCUGUAUCUGCCUACCGGUAUACAGUUGCACUUUGCUACAGGGUGGACAUAUUAGCAGCUCAGGUUUAGCCAAAGACAAAUUGAGAGGUGAAGCUAGAGUGCACAUGGGUGAUUUGAGAUGCUGGUAUCAGUAUGGUUACAGCUUUAUGAGUCCCGUUGGCAAUCUGCGAGGCAUCUUGAGUGGAGAGUUACCUAUGAGGCGUCAAAACACACCUGUAAAUGAAUAAUCACCUACAACAAACACUUUUUAUGGAUACUUUGAAUAAGUGACUUAGAGAUUUCGUUUUUUGUUUGUUUUCUGUUUUUGCUUUUGAUCUACUUCCCCCAAUAGAGACAAGGUUGUAGAAUGUUGUACACAACAAUGAUGGUGUGUGUUUGUAUGUGUGUGUGUGUGUGUGCGUGUGU